rnacentral:rRNA from 1 species
UAUUAAAGGCAAUGCCUGCCCAGUGAGAAUUUCUUCAACGGCCGCGGUACCCUAACCGUGCAAAGGUAGCGUAAUCAUUUGUCUAUUAAUUGUAGACCAGUAUGAANGGCCACAUGAAAGUCAAACUGUCUCUUGUAAUUAAUCAAUUAAACUGAUCUCCCAGUACAAAAGSUGGAAUAUCCAUAUAAGACCAGAAGACCCUGUGAAGCUUAAACUAACUUAUUAAACCCASUAAUAACUACUUUCAGUUGGGGCRACUUUGGAACAAAACAAAACUUCCAAAYAAYAUGAAUAAUCCCUCAUACCAUAGGCCAACAAGCCACCACAAGACCCAGUAACACUGACANUUGANCCAAGUUACUCCAGGGAUAACAGCGCCAUCUUCUUUAARASCCCAUAUCAAAAAGAAGGUUUACGACCUCGAUGUUGGAUCAGGACACCCANAUGG